rnacentral:rRNA from 1 species
CUAAGAAUAUUCCGGCAAUGGACGAAAGUCUGACGGAGCGACGCCGCGUGGAUGAUGAAGGCCGGAAGGUUGUAAAAUCCUUUUAAGUAUGAGGAAUAAGCAGUGUGAGAGAAACGCAUUGUGGUGACUGUAGUACUUGAAUAAGCAACGGCUAAUUACGUGCCAGCAGCCGCGGUAACACGUAAGUUGCGAGCGUUGUUCGGAAUUAUUGGGCGUAAAGGGCAUGUAGGCGGUAUUGCAAGCCUGGUGUGAAAGGCGGGGGCUCAACCCCUGGACUGCGCCGGGAACUGCAUUACUAGAGUCGCUGAGGGGCAAUCAGAAUUCCAGGUGUAGGGGUGAAAUCUGUAGAUAUCUGGAAGAAUACCAAUGGCGAAGGCAGGUUGCCAGCAGAUGACUGACGCUGAGGUGCGAAGGUGC